GGACUUGCCUAGACUUGUUAAGAGUUUUGUCUCUGGGACUCUGGAGCAAGCGGUAACAUUGCCCACCAAUGGUAUGAAGCCAAGGAGGCAAUGUCUGGCAUUGUUUCCAAGGCAACAGACAAGUCUGAACACAGAGCUGCCUCAGAAGAGCCACAGAGGCCUGUUUGCAGGACAAACAGGAGCUGUUCCAAAGGGAUUUCAUAGGACAUGGCUUUCCUGAAAACUGGCCCAGUGGACUGGAGAACUGGUAGGUUGAUGCCAUAAAGCCAGAUACGUAAUAUUUGUUGGGUUUUUGGUGAGUUGCCAUCUUCAAUAAAUUAGAAGGCAUAAAAAGGUGGCUAAAGGCCAUGCUUGAAUCCAGGAUGAAAACCUGAAGAUGCUUCCCUAGCUGGUCCUAUUCUUAGCAUCUCCCCUAGACAUUUAGGUAUUUCAAACAAGAGUCAGAUUUCACAAUCCUGCCAACCUUCAGUAGCUUGCUGCUAGUUCUCAGUUGGCACAGCAUUAUCU
rnacentral:lncRNA from 1 species